ACUAACUCCUUAGAUAUGGAGUUGAGAAUCCAAGAUGUGACCAUGAAGUCACAUCUUUUCCAUUGUUCAUAACCUUCACUGUCUUUACUAGGUGCCGAAGUAGUGCCUUCGACAAAACCUAAUUUCAUCUUGGCUCCUAAGGCUAUUCUAAUGGCCCUACUCCAAGAUCUGAAAUUAGUUCCUAUAAGAGGUGCGGAAACGAGACUCAUACCUGGAUGGUCGGAGGUUUGAAGGCUCAGUGGGUCUCCCAUCCCCGCACUCGCGAUCUGCAAUUUUUCUGGAGCUCCAGUCCCUCUCUGUUCCUUGCUACUGCUCGCCAUGACCAGAUCUAUCGAACGGACCAAGGAUCUCUCCUAUGCAACCGGCGACGCGCCGGCGUGAGUUAGGAACCGACGCUCUGAUACCAUGUGCAGAAACAGAAGAGAGGAAGAAAAAUCCAGAACUUUAUUUAAAAUCAGAAAAUGACGUUACAUAUCAGUUCUGGAAGCAACGCUUCCUGUUUAUACCAGAUUGAAUCACACGCACAACAUGUGCAUACAAAGGACUCACCCUAAACAAAACGACGCAGUUUAGAUAACCAACAUAAAAUAACAAUUACAAUUAGUAAAACGACAUAGCAUAGCUUUUAAC
rnacentral:lncRNA from 1 species